rnacentral:rRNA from 1 species
GGGGAGCAUUGCAUGCAGCGGAGAAGCAUGACCGAGAGGGCAUGUGGAGCGCAUGGAAGAGAGAAUGCCGGCGUGAGUAGCGGCACGUGGGUGAGAAUCCCACGCACCGAUGGCCCAAGGUCUCCAGAGGAAGGCUCGUCCUCUCUGGGAUAGUCGGGACCUAAGGCGAGGCCGAAAGGCGUAGCCGACGGACGACGGGUGGAUAUUCCCGUACCCGAUGUGUGGCGAUGGAGUGACGGAGAAGGCUCAGGCAACCAGCUGCUGGAAUAGCUGGGGCAAGCGAGAUACCUGCGCACCAGGGAAAUCCGGUGCGCGCAAGGGGAAGGCGCGAAGCAUACGGAAAGCUGCGGCAAGUACGGAAAAGCUGAGAGCAGGCUUCCAGGAAAAGCUUCUAGCACAACACGCAUCGGCCCGUACCGAAAAUGGACACACAUGGGCAAGGAGAGAAUCCUGAGGUGAGCGAGAGAACUAUAGCUAAGGAACUCUGCAAAAUGACCCCGUAACUUAGGGAGAAGGGGUGCUCCAGAAAUGGAGCCGCAGUAAAACGGCCCGAGCGACUGUUUACCAAAAACACAGCUCUCUGCGAAGGCGCAAGCCGAAGUAUAGGGGGUGACGCCUGCCCGGUGCUGGAAGGUCAAGGGGAGCUGUCAGCGCAAGCGAAGCAGCGAGCCGAAGCCCCAGUAAACGGCGGCCGUAACGAUAACGGUCCUAAGGUAGCGAAAUUCCUUGUCGGGCAAGUUCCGACCCGCACGAAAGGCGUAACGAUUUGGGCGCUGUCUCAGCUGUAGACUCGGUGAAGUCUUAGUACCUGUGAAGAUGCAGGUUGCCCGCGACUAGACGGAAAGACCCCAUGGAGCUUCACUGCAGGUUGACAUUGGGCUUGGAUGCAUGAUGUACAGGAUAGGUGGGAGGCUGUGAGCCGUGCGCGCCAGCGUACGGGGAGCCGCUGUUGGGAUACCACCCUUCAUGCAUCUAGGUCCUAACCGGAGGCAACGGGCCACGGGACAGUGUCAGUCGGGCAGUUUGACUGGGGCGGUCGCCUCCCAAAGAGUAACGGAGGCGCCCAAAGAUACCCUCAGCAUGGAUGGAAACCAUGCAUAGAGUGCAAAGGCAUAAGGGUGUCUGACUGCGAGACAUACAGGUCGAGCAGGGACGAAAGUCGGGCUUAGUGAUCCGGCGGAUCCGAAUGGAAGGGCCGUCGCUCAACGGAUAAAAGCUACCCUGGGGAUAACAGGCUGAUCUCCCCAAAGAGUUCACAUCGACGGGGAGGUUUGGCACCUCGAUGUCGGCUCAUCGCAUCCUGGAGCUGAAGUCGGUUCCAAGGGUUGGGCUGUUCGCCCAUUAAAGCGGUACGCGAGCUGGGUUCAGAACGUCGUGAGACAGUUCGGUCCCUAUCUGUCGUGGGCGCAGGAGGUUUGAGGAGAGCUGCCCCUAGUACGAGAGGACCGGGGUGGACGGACCGAUGGUGCACCAGUUGUCACGCCAGUGGCACAGCUGGGCAGCCAAGUCCGGACGGGAUAAGCGCUGAAGGCAUCUAAGCGUGAAGCCCCCUCCAAGAUGAGACCUCCCAUUGGCGACAAGUAAGGCCCCUCGAAGACGACGAGGUUGAUAGGCCGCGAGUGCAAGCGCAGCGAUGUGCUUAGCGGGGCGGUACUAAUAGGCCGAGGACUUGGCC